GCCGGGCGUGGUGGCGCACACCUGUAAUCCCAGCUACUUGGGAGGCGGAGGCAGGAGAAUCACUCGAGCCUAGGAGGCUGAGGUUGUGGUGAGCCGAGAUCGUGCCACUGCAGUCCAGUCUUGGCAACAGAGUGAGACCCUAUCUCAA
rnacentral:SRP_RNA from 1 species